ACAAUUGAGUGAAAUAUGGGAAGAAACCUUCUCCUCACACCUACCCUUUCUUCAUUCUCUUCUGCUCUGCAGGGGCUUCCACCGGCACCCUUAGAUUUUCCUUUUUCAUUCCUUAGAUGGAGGCAGCGUUAAUUUAGGAUGCAAAGCAUCUGCAGAGGAAAAGAUUUAUGCCUCCACUGCUCACACAUGAUGGUCCUGAUCCAGAGAGGAACCUCUCAUGCUUGCUUCUAAGUUAAAAAUCAAGGGAGACUCAGUUGCUCAGAGAAUCUUUUGGGGCUAAUCCAAUUGUUAAUCCCAGAUGAGUCAGACCCAUGUAAAUCCCACUGAUUCCGUGGCUGAACUCAAGUAACAAGUUACAACUAGAGUAGACCUAUUGAAUCAGUGGAAUUUACAGAGGAGCUGGCUCAGCAAUUUCCCACUGAUUCAGUGAGCCUACUCUAUUUGUGAUUUUUCCUGGAUUUCAGCUAUUGCAUCUAUGCUGGCUUCAGCAAGCAAUGGGAUUUAGCCCUUAAAAUGUAGUUUAAUUGGUAGAGCACAUGCUUUGUAUCUUUAAUCUCUGAUAUCAAAGGAACACUCAUGAAAUCAUGGAGUGAGCCAUUGCCUACCAGUGUGAGCAAUACUGAGCUGGAUUGGGAAAUGGUCUGCCUCUGUCUGUCCCAAAUGGACCCACCAGCCAGUUUCCAAUUAAGAACACAUAAAACAAUGAAGCACAGGAGAAACCUCAACAGCAGCUCAACAGAACGAAAUGGAGCAGUAAACGAUGAAGCCAUGAAGAGCCAGGUUAGAUCACUGAAUGUUCUAAAAUAGCUGAAGUUACCUCUUUGCUGCUCUCAUUUUACAUUUUGCUUUCAAAAUAUACAGAGGAGCACAAGAAUGAUGCCAGCUGAAGGUGUGCCCUCUUGCAUCUUCUCAUUGCGACCUUAGGUGCAGGCAAAGAUCAUUCUGACAGAUGGUAAGAA
rnacentral:lncRNA from 1 species